rnacentral:rRNA from 1 species
GAGCCAGACUCCUACGGGAGGCAGCAGUGGGGAAUAUUGGGCAAUGGGCGCAAGCCUGACCCAGCAACGCCGCGUGAAGGAAGAAGGCUUUCGGGUUGUAAACUUCUUUUAUCAGGGACGAAACAAAUGACGGUACCUGAUGAAUAAGCCACGGCUAACUACGUGCCAGCAGCCGCGGUAAUACGUAGGUGGCAAGCGUUAUCCGGAUUUACUGGGUGUAAAGGGCGUGUAGGCGGGCUUGCAAGUCAGAUGUGAAAACUAUGGGCUCAACCCAUAGCCUGCAUUUGAAACUGUAUUUCUUGAGUGCUGGAGAGGCAAUCGGAAUUCCGUGUGUAGCGGUGAAAUGCGUAGAUAUACGGAGGAACACCAGUGGCGAAGGCGGAUUGCUGGACAGUAACUGACGCUGAGGCGCGAAAGCGUGGGGAGCAAACAGGAUUAGAUCCCCGUGUAGG